GGAGCUACAGCGGAGACUGAGUGGUAGUGAAUGUAGACGUUUUAUAUUAUUUAAUGUUUAUAUUAUUCUACUUAAGAUCGCGUUGAAGUGGUUAAGGCUUACUGUAUCAUCAGUUGCCAUAUCCCUUUGCACGGCCGGUGUGAAACACGUGCUUUCUCUGCGUUAGAAAGCCGAAAAAGCCGAGGUUUUACCUGCAGACAUUGAUGAUAAAGGCUAUGGCAAUCGAUCAUAUAAUUGAUCUAAGUUGAAUCAUAUAAACAUUAAAUAUGUCUACAUUCACUACGGAACUCGGAUGAAAAUUAAACUGAAAUUCGUAAAUAUCGUCAUGAUCCCGUUGUUCCCAUCAUGCACUUGGGCAUGAAUAAUUCAUGAGGGUGAAGGAUCGCAGGGGAAAGGAGACCUGGGAAGCCCACUUCCUCUUGGCCUGCAAGAGGCCCUAAUUAGCACCGCUUUCCCACUCCAUUCAGAACAUACAGCUCUUCUGCAUGCCCAUUAUCAGUGCUGAAGUCAUCAAUCUCUGUUUUGUGUCAGCAUGUCUGCAGGACCUCCGGACCCUCUCUGUGGUUUUCCCAUCACCUGGUCCUAAUUGGGUCAGAUAUAUGUGUAUGGACAGACAUCUGUGAACACAAGCAUGCAGUGACAAGGAAGUACUGCCUGUUUGUGUCUCAUUUUUGAAAAUAUGAAUACUACAAUAACAUUCAAAU